AUUGAACGCUGGCGGCAGGCUUAACACAUGCAAGUCGAGCGGAGUGAUGGUGCUUGCACUAUCACUUAGCGGCGGACGGGUGAGUAAUGCUUAGGAAUCUGCCUAUUAGUGGGGGACAACAUCUCGAAAGGGAUACUAAUACCGCAUACGUCCUACGGGAGAAAGCAGGGGAUCACUUGUGACCUUGCGCUAAUAGAUGAGCCUAAGUCGGAUUAGCUAGUUGGUGGGGUAAAGGCCUACCAAGGCGACGAUCUGUAGCGGGUCUGAGAGGAUGAUCCGCCACACUGGGACUGAGACACGGCCCAGACUCCUACGGGAGGGAGCAGUGGGGAAGAUUGGACAAUGGGGGGAACCCUGAUCCAGCCAUGCCGCGUGUGUGAAGAAGGCCUUAUGGUUGUAAAGCACUUUAAGCGAGGAGGAGGCUCUUUUGGUUAAUACCCAAGAUGAGUGGACGUUACUCGCAGAAUAAGCACCGGCUAACUCUGUGCCAGCAGCCGCCGUAA
rnacentral:rRNA from 1 species